rnacentral:tRNA from 1 species
GGUCCCGUAGCUGAGUUGGUUAGAGCGUUGGUCUUAUGACUUAGGUAAGUGUAAGCCCAAGGUCGCGGGUUCGACCCCUGCCGAGACCA